GAUGAACGCUGGCGGCGUGCCUAAUACAUGCAAGUCGAGCGAACAGACGAGGAGCUUGCUCCUCUGCCGUUAGCGGCUGACGGGUGAGUAACACGUGGAUAACCUACCUAUAAGACUGGGAUAACUUCGGGAAACCGGAGCUAAUACCGGAUAAUAUAUUGAACCGCAUGGUUCAAUAGUGAAAGACGCUUUUGCUGUCACUUAUAGAUGGAUUCGCGCCGCAUUAGCUAGUUGGUAAGGUAACGGCUUACCAAGGCAACGAUGCGUAGCCGACCUGAGAGGGUGAUCAGCCACACUGGAACUGAGACACGGUCCAGACUCCUACGGGAGGCAGCAGUAGGGAAUCUUGCGCAAUGGGCGAAAGCCUGACGGAGCAACGCCGCGUGAGUGAUGAAGGUCUUCGGAUCGUAAAACUCUGUUAUUAGGGAAGAAAAAAUGUGUAAGUAACUAUGCACGUCUUGACGGUACCUAAUCAGAAAGCCCCGGCUAACUUCGUG
rnacentral:rRNA from 1 species